rnacentral:rRNA from 1 species
GAUGAACGCUAGCGGCAGGCUUAAUACAUGCAAGUUGAGGGGCAGCAUGAUAUACGCGAGUAUAUUGAUGGCGACCGGCGGACGGGUGAGUAAUAGGUAGGAGACCUACCUCAUACAGGGGGAUAGCAUAGAGAAAUCUGUGGUAAUACCCCAUGAGGUUAUAUGAAUAGAGGCAUAUAAUCAAAGCAUAAGCGAUUAUGCGGUAUGAGAGGGGCCUACUGACCAUUAGCUAGUUGGUGAGGUAAGGGCUCACCAAGGCGAAGAUGGUUAGGGGUUUUGAGAGAGAGACCCCCCACAUUGGAACUGAGAGACGGUCCAGACUCCUACGGGAGGCAGCAGUAGGGAAUAUUGGGCAAUGGGCGAAAGCCUGACCCAGCCAUGCCGCGUGAAGGAAGACGGCCUUACGGGUUGUAAACUUCUUUACUACGCGAAUAGAGGUUAGUACGAGAUACUAAUAGGAAGGUAGUGUAGUAAAAGCACCGGCUAACUCCGUG